rnacentral:rRNA from 1 species
GAUGAACGCUAGCGGCAGGCUUAACACAUGCAAGUCGAGGGGCAGCGCGAUGUAGCAAUACAUUGGCGGCGACCGGCGCACGGGUGCGUAACACGUAUGGAACUUACCCUUUACUGGGAGAUAGCCCGGAGAAAUCCGGAUUAAUAUCCCAUAAUAAACGAAGUGGCAUCACUUUGUUUUGAAAGCUCCGGCGGUAAAGGAUGGCCAUGCGCACGAUUAGCUAGUAGGUGAGGUAACGGCUCACCUAGGCUACGAUCGUUAGGGGGCCUGGGAGGGUUAUCCCCCACACUGGUACUGAGACACGGACCAGACUCCUACGGGAGGCAGC